rfam:Myotis davidii contig5628, whole genome shotgun sequence.
AGGGGAGAGGGGGAGGUCCCUCAGCCCGGAUUGCAAGAGGGAGCAGGCCAGGCUGAGGGACACCACCUGUGCACU